rnacentral:lncRNA from 1 species
AGAAGGUUGAGACAACAAGGCAGAUUGCAAAGAUAGGAAAGAUUGGGUCAAUUGAAAACAUUGCAUUGUCGAUACCUUGUACCUGCCAAUCUUUUACGAUUCAACAUUCCUUACUUUGCUAAUUUAACUGCUGAAAUGCUUCUCACAAUCAUGCAGGUAAAAAAAUGUUUAGCUCUUUACCUGUAAAUGUUUAAAAUUAAAUGUUAGCCGUUCCACAAUGAACGUGCUAUUUUGGCCGCUCAGUACACACGAAGCGUGCUGUCAGGAUUGUUUAUUUUUUCAAAAUUUACUUAAUUUGUUUCUGUUUUUAGUUAGGUAUUUAAAAUUGCGCAAACUAAGAUUAACUAUAUACAGAGGUUACGGCUGCGCUGAAUUCUAGGGGGCAAUAGCAUUAGCAAACACUGGAGACCCCCAUAAUUCUGGGGGGUAAUAGCAUUUUAGGUCGCUAGAGGCCCCCAGAAUUCUGGGGGUAAUAGGUGUGACCUUUUGGCUCUUCUUUUUAAGUCGUUGUUGGACACGAAAAAAAAUUCACUAUCGAAAUUUAAUUUCCUUUGUUUCAUUUGUCUUUGCAACAACCGAAAGAUUUGUGUAGGAAAUGUUGGUGACAUGGAUCGAUUAACAUAGUUAAUUGAGCCUUCGAUUGGUAACAGCAGAACAGCCAACAGUCUGUCAGAGGGGUCAGUGUGAGAUAAUGCAGAUUCCUACUUCCUAGCAACUCAGUAUUCGUUACUGUUCUUUUAUAAAAGUAUUUGCGAGGAAGGAUUGGUUUCGGGAUAGGGAGCCCUCAGCAAAUACAACAACGGGCAGAUAUUCAGGUUGUAGCACAAAACUUGAUAUUUAGUACAACCAUGAUUCUUCACAAACACCUAUACAGUAUGGAAAGCUUGACAGGAAAAUGAGGAUGAGUAAAAAAGGCCAAAUGUGAGACAUGGAAAAGGUCUGACAUAAUGGGCAUUUUGUUCACGCAGAUUUGGAACUUAAAAAAGAAAUCUGUUCUCAGUGAAAAGAUGAGAACUAUCUAUUGCGCAACAUUACGGAAUCCAAAGAUUCCUUACAGGUGACAUAGGUUAAUAUGGUCAUCAAGCUUCCACCUCCAUGUAUUGUACUGUACUCCAUUUAUCCAAAAUCCAUAUGUCAGCCGACUUACCUUCCUGGUUGCAAUGAAGAAGAAUCAUUAGUUGAAAGUAUUAAAAGAAGAUACCAUAUUGUGUGUUUAUUUUGAUAUAUCUCCUUACAGAUGAAGAGGUUAACAUGGUCAUCAGGCAUCCACCUCCAUGUACUGUACUGUAUUCCUUUUAUGUGAAAACCAUAUGUCAGCUGACUUGCCUUUCUGGUUGCAAUGAAGAAGAACCAUUAGAGUCAAAAUUAUUAAAUGGUGAUGCCAUAUUGUGCGUUCCUUUUGAAAUAUCUUUUUUCACAUUUCUUUAAGUAUUUACCCUAAUUUUCCUGUAACCUUGGUAACGAUUUAUUAAGAGGACAUCACUUGAUGAUACCCGGGAAAAGCAAUCACUACUGGGACGGAAAAUCACAGUACACGGGUCACAGUGUAAUAGUAUAGUUUGACAGAUGUAUUCAAUCACUAUCACAGCCCACGCAAGAAUUUCAGCAAUAUCUGUAUCGUAGUAACGGACGACAAUAGCCCUCUGCAAUCUUCUUCCAUUCUACUAUUUCACCUCUAUUCCAUUGAUUCGAAGUUCAUUCCAACAGAAACAGUCUCACGUUCGAAAAUGUUUCUAUGCAGCGCAACGGAUCACUCAGAGCCACUUUUUUCAGUCUUGGGACAAGUGAAAUUCAAACCGGACGAGACCUAACGACGAAGCCUAAGAAACGGGAAAAGAGGAAUUAUUUUGCGAACAAGAAUGAUUUUUUUUUUUUAAUUUCACAUCUUGUAAACUAUCCAAAUCUCACACACCUUAGGGUUUUAUUCUGUCAUAAGUUUACUACAAUUUACACACUGGAUAUUUUACAAUUGCAUUUUGUGUGUAUAUUGGAGUAGGUCUUUCAUAGUAUAAAACCCCAAGCCAUGUGAUUUAUUCUCUAUCCGGAGAAAAAAAAAGUUUAAAAGAUGUGAAAUUUUAAAAUUUUAAUCAUUGUUUGCUAAUGUCUAUGACACGAUUUCUAUCUAUAACGAAAACGAUCUGCCUCGUAUGGAGAUCGAAGUAAAAUGUUCUGUUACGAAGGCUUCGCGAUCUAGACAGCUUUUUUCUCUGCAUUUGAUCAACCUGAACGUAAAAUCAAGUUUUGGCAAAAUUAAGAAAAAAGUUUCCUAUCUUGGGAGUUUAAACUGGCUGUUAAGGAAGUUAGAUACGAUGCCGAAGCUUAUGUCAUGACAGCGGGUAAAAAGAGCAAGUCGUCGGCUAAAAGAUUGCCUUGAAAUCUUAAGCCUUAUUGAAUAUUAGGUAUUGUGUUACAAUUGAAGAGCGUGUUAGAGCAACCAAAAAUGUGUGAUCGUUCGGAAGUCAUCUAUUUAAAGCGUUUUUACAAAUUGUCGAUACGAGACAAGCUUCACGCAUUCGCUGUAUUUCCCCGCGGAUUAAAUAUGGCCCCUUAUUUAUUUGAUCCAAGUCCACUAAUACCGUUGAUGCCUUCAUCAGUGUCUGUAUGAAGGAGUCGGUGGUGGAUACUGUACAAGAUUAUAAUCGUAGUCAAUCGACAGAGGAUAUUGAUGGAGGUCAGGUGUAAACAGUAACUGAAAUUCGUUGGAGGAGGGACCGAAGGUUUCCAGAUUCUUUUAUUUUCCCACGUGUUUUGGUAUUUUUACACAAAAAAAUUAAGUGCAUAUCUGGGCUCCCUUCUUUUCUGUGGCCCCGUUUCCCCUUGACUUAUGAUAAGCCCGUAGGGGGUCAUGCCCC